CAGCCGCCACGGGAAUACGAAGGGGGCUAGCGUUGUUCGGAUUUACUGGGCGUAAAGCGCACGUAGGCGGAUCGAUCAGUCAGGGGUGAAAUCCUGGAGCUCAACUCCAGAACUGCCUUUGAUACUGUCUAUCUCGAGUCCGGAAGAGGUGAGUGGAACUCCUAGUGUAGAGGUGGAAUUCGUAGAUAUUAGGAAGAACACCAGUGGCGAAGGCGGCUCACUGGUCCGGUACUGACGCUGAGGUGCGAAAGCGUGGGGAGCAAACAGGAUUAGAUACCCCAGUAGUCCCUGUCUCUUAUAC
rnacentral:rRNA from 1 species